rnacentral:rRNA from 1 species
GACGAACGCUGGCGGCGUGCCUAAUACAUGCAAGUAGAACGCUGAAGGAGGAGCUUGCUUCUCUGGAUGAGUUGCGAACGGGUGAGUAACGCGUAGGUAACCUGCCUGGUAGCGGGGGAUAACUAUUGGAAACGAUAGCUAAUACCGCAUAAGAGUAGAUGUUGCAUGACAUUUGCUUAAAAGGUGCAAUUGCAUCACUACCAGAUGGACCUGCGUUGUAUUAGCUAGUUGGUGGGGUAACGGCUCACCAAGGCGACGAUACAUAGCCGACCUGAGAGGGUGAUCGGCCACACUGGGACUGAGACACGGCCCAGACUCCUACGGGAGGCAGCAGUAGGGAAUCUUCGGCAAUAGACGGAAGUCUGACCGAGCAACGCCGCGUGAGGGAAGAAGGUUUUCGGAUCGUAAAGCUCUGUUGUAAGAGAAGAACGAGUGUGAGAGUGGAAAGUUCACACUGUGACGGUAUCUUACCAGAAAGGGACGGCUAACUACGUG